rnacentral:snoRNA from 1 species
AUCCCAUGAUGAGGACAGGCGGCGACGUAUUCCUGCGGUCUUUCCUAUGCUUCCGAGAUUGUCUCAUCUUUCGUCUGCUGGAAACUGGAUAUUCUUCCACGAAGGGC